UGUAUGUUGGGUUGGUGGAUUUUGACUCAACGCAUGAGUUGCACAAAAUAACCCAAAUUCCAUAUAAAUAACCCAUAAUGGGUAAAACAUUUCAUAACCCAGCGGUUGGGUAGAUGAAAUAACCCAGCUAUUUUAGGGUUGUGUGACUCUUCAAAU